GUCCCACUGCUCUCCUGCUCCCUCAGGGGUUCUCUGUUGUGUUCCCUGUCAGGGCAGUCAUGGGUAGUAGCCAGGCACCAUCUAGUUCUUCUGGUCUCAGGCUGAUGUAGUCUCUGGUUCAUGUGGCCCUUUCUGUCUCUUGGGCUCGUAAUAACCUUGUGUCCUUGGUGUUCUUCCCUCUCCUUUGAUCCAGGUGUGUUGAGACUCAUUGAUGCAUCUUAGAUAGCCGCUUGCUAGUGUUUAAGACCCCAGAGGCCACUCUCCAAAGUGGGAUGCAGAAUGUUUGAAAGGCGUGUUUUUAAUAUGUUUGUUUUUGCUGAGCUGCUCUGAGGUUGUGGCUUUCAGUUUCCUUUUCCGGUUCGCCAGUAUGUAUGGAAGCAGAGAGAAUGUGCCUGGUGAUUGCACCAGCACUUGGGCCCUCAGGCUAGCGUUCGGGCCUACACACCCAAGAACAGCCGGAUCUUACUUUUGGCAAGGGGAUGAUUCCUUGAAAGAACUUUUCAUCAAGGUAGAAAACUAAAACAGCUGGAAUAAACCCACAGGGAGUAACACUGGGGCUGUGCUGUGUCUCGGAGAGGCGGCCAGCUUUUGUGUCCAAGUAAUGCCUUCCAUGGAACCUCUGGGUGGUGCAACAAUCAGUGAGCUCGGCUGCUAACCGAAAGGUCAGAGAUUCGAGCACACCCAGAGGUAUUUCAGAAAAAAGGCCUGGUGAUCUACUUCAAGAGCUCAGCUACUAACCGGAAGGUCAGGGAUUCGAGUCUACCCAGAGGUGCUUUGGAAAAAAAGGCCUGGUGAUCUACUUCAGGACAAGCAGCCAUUGAGAGCCCUAUGGAGCACAGUUCUACCCUGAAACACCUGGGGUCACCAUGAGUCGGAGUCAACUUGAUGGCAACUGUUUAAUGCCUCCUACCCUUCUGAUUUUACCUGGCUACACUGGGGUGUGUGGGGGGUACUCAGUGGACACCAGCACAGGGGAUGCAGCAGAAAAUACAGCAGGCCCUGCCCUGGGAUGCUCAGAGUCUGAUGGAGGUGGUUGACGCCUCCAGAACCAUAACACAGAUAGGACCACAGCCAGGAGAGCACCACAGGCGGUGGGACAGGGCUGGGGAAAGCCAGCAAGGGAGGAGGUGUUUUGCACUGUCCCUCUAAGAUUUGGUGAGCUUCCACACGGUAGGGAAGGUGAUGAAAGCGUUCCAGGUGGAGGAAACAGCCGGAGCAAAGGCAUCUAAAGGUGCAAGGGGACUGCGAGUCCUCGAAUGUGACUGGCACCAGACGUAGGUGGAGACAGGGAGUGGUGAGUGAUAAGGUGGGCAAGAGAGGAGGUGGAACCAGGUCAGGGGGGCCUGUGGCCAGGCUAAUGAGUUUGAGCUCGGUCCCGUCGUUGUUGUUAGGUCCGCUGAGUCGAUUCCAACUCAUAGUUACCCAAUGAGACGGAAUCGACUGCCCCAUAGAGUCUUCUAGGCUGUAAUCUUUACAGGAGAGAUUGUCAGGUCUUUUCUCCCAUGGAGCGGCUAGUGGGUUGGAAGUGCCGAUCUUUCCAUUAGCAGGCCAGUGCUUAACCGUUGCACCAUCAGGGCUCCUUGAACUUGGUCCUGGGAGGUCAUUAACGAUUACUUGGUAGGAACACACUAUCCAAACCUCUUUACCCUGCCUGAGGAACAUGACCUCCAGACAUCUAGAGGGAGAGGCUUUGCUGGGAUCCUGUCCUGUGGCAUCUGGGGAAACACAUGGGGUCUCAGUAUCUUCUUGUACCCCAACAGGACUCGCUGACUUGGCUUGGGAGGGCAGGGAGCUGGAAUGAGGCUGAGUAAGUUUUUUUUAAAUAGCACCUGGCCAAGCCCUGUAGACAAACACUUUGGCUCAAGUCCGUUUCAUUUCUAUCUCUUGGAGGGGAUCGCUGCCAUCCUGGAGGGAAUUGCUGGAGAUCUGGCCCCUCGGUGAUCCCUGUUGCCAUGGCUGGCUCACAUUCCAUCCUAUAAGUUGUUUUCUCCCCGCGCUCCCAAGGGUAAAGCAAAGCCUCCUUCCAGCCUGGACACAGACUGGUCAGCUGUAAGGAGAAACUCCGAGAGACCACUGCUGGCACCAUGAACCCAGAACCCGAUGGACUCAGCUCAGGUAGUCCUUCCUUUUCCUAGGACGUGCAGUUGAGAUUGGCCCUCCAAAGCUGAGUUAACCUACAGAGGAAUCAAGAAUUGAGAAGGGAGUUGGAUGAGCGUGCGUGCACAUGAAACCACAUGAUUCGAAGCAUCAUUGUAAUUGGGUUAAAAUGACAGCCCCGACCAGAGCAUUUUAGAAGAGAGCCAAGGCUUCAUUGAGGAAGUCAUUGAGUAUCUAGAGAACAGUUUGAGGCAAGAGGAGCUGCAACUCCUGCUGGCUGAAGACCAAGCCUGGGAGAGAUUCCUGAAUAAGGCGGGCUUGUCCAGGUAACCUCCACGGUGCCCCAGGAACGGCACCCCAUUCUUCCCGCUGGGCCAGUUGCCUCCUGGCAGACACGCAUCCUCCAGGCAAUCUCCUGUGGGGUUGAGGAUAUCCCUUCUCAGCAAUCCAUGAGGGACAUUUCCUCCAUGCCAUUCACUGGCGGAGCCCAGAUGAAUUCAGUGGUUAAGUGAUACGGCUGCUAACCAAAAGGUCGGUCAUCAGUUCAAAUCCACCAGCUGCUCUUUGGAAACCCUGUGGGGCAGUUCUACUCUGUCCUGUAGGGUCACUAUGAGUCAAAAUUAGCUUGAUGGAAAUGGGUUUGGUUCUAUUCGACAUACAGUCACCCCUGAUGAACAGGAAGUCAGUAUGAUUUUGUAACAAGUCCGAGUGGGUGGCUACCAAACUUUUGUAAUUUGAGGAACUCGCCCCUACUUGUCCUCCCAAGUUCCCACUGGAGACAAAAAUACCUCCUUCUCAAGUCUGUCCAAAUGCAGGUCUUUGUAGGCUUAACGAUUCAUGUAUUUGGUUCUUCAAGUCUCUGGCAUCUUUAAGAGGUUCUAUAAAAUUGCUCAUUGCUUUGGAGUGCACACAUGUUAAGCAAUCACCAGCUAAGGCGUGAGCCUAGUGGCAUCUGAGAGUAGGCCCUGAGCGUUGAGGGUACUGGCUGGGGGCUUGGGAGUCAGUAUAGGUGGGGUACAGAGUCAGAGUAGAGCCAGGGUUCAUUGCCGGGGCUCCUGAAUGCCCGUCAGUAGGGGCAUGUUUCCAAGGAAGACAAGCCUCCCCCACAGGCACUGGAUGGGACAACACUUUACUCACAUAGAAAAAAGACAGAACAACGUCAGCUUCCAUAAUGGGCAUCGGUCGCUCAUGGUCAGUGCAUCUCUCUGCUCAGCUGACACAAGGAGCUGAUCUGCAUGCACCCCUCCUGUGAUGCAGGAGAAGGAUCCGGUUUCUUCCCCACAGGGAACAGAUGGAGCAGUGGGGUUGGCCAGGUGCUAGGUAAUGCACACACCUAGCUGAUGUCGUUCCUGGGAAUAUUAACACGAGUUCAGGGCAGGAGCGGACCAAUGUGUUAUUAGGCCAUUGUCUGGUAUGGGAAGUGUUUGCGUCAAGAUGGCCCAGAAAAGGAAUUAGCCCAUAUUCUCGUCUCAUCCAAAAAGCCAGGCCAACACAGCUGGUCCUAAUUACAAGGUCCAUUCAUGUGACACAGGGAAAGGGAACAGGCUGUGCUGGGACUGACCCUUUCAAAAAGGUGGUCACCCAUCCUUGAGUGAGAAAACACCUUAACCUACCAUGAAACAGCAUCUUAAGAUGAUUUUUGCUUAUUUAUUCCCUUAUGGAAUAAGUACUAUGGAGCAUCUAUGAUGUUCAAACAUGAGUAACAUUGAAAGAAAAAUCUUUGCAUUGUAGAAUUCUUUCCAUUUGAUUUAUAGUAAAAGCUGUAUGAUUUGUGGAGGAUAGAUCUUACCAAAUCCAUUUUACAGCUAAGGAAACUGUUUUUCUUAAUUACUUGCUCUUCAUUGUUACAGGAAUGAGGGAGUUGUACUACAUUAAGCUCUGAACAAGCUCAGGAUAGACAUAGCUGCAGAAGACAAAGAAUAGCAGGAUAUAGAGAGGUUUUUGGAUGAGUUUCCUUGGGUGAAAAUGGAGCUUGAGGAGCAUAUAGAAGAGCUUCAUAGAAUUGUAGACAACAGUGAGAGGGAACACAGAGACUGCACCAUCUUCCAGGUGGUGGCCAGUUUCACCGGCAUCUUCUCUAGCAUCCUGGGCUUGCUUGGCUUGGCUUUGGCACCCGUGACAGCAGGGGCCAGUCUGGCACUUCCAGCAGCAGUGGGGCUCGGAACAGUGGCUGCUAUCACUAGGCUUCUCUCUGAGAAGGGGUGUGGUGUUCACCUGUACUAAGGAGUGCAGGGGAACAGCGGGCUGCACUCGGUCUCAGGCCACCUCUUUUGGCCGGCAAGGUUUCUGGGGACCACUGCACCCCCCUAGGUGAGACACAGCUUCUCCAGUGCACCCCAGGCCUCAAACAGAGACCCUGGUCCGCCUCUGAGCAGGUUCCACUUCAGUCCCUGGGAAGGUAGCCACAGGAGAGGUUGGUGGGGCUGGGCACUGGAGGGCUGUGUGCUUCUCCCUUCUCAUGUCACUUGGGGUUUUCUGGCUACAAAAGUGCUGUAGUGCGUUUUAGGAACUUUCCUCUUUCCUCAAUGUCUCGCCAUCCACUCGGGGUCUCCCCAUCACUGUGAACUGUGCUGGUGCAGAGGGACAGCUGCCUUCAUGUUUUGGGACAUUGGCCACUCAGUUGUUUUUUUUUUUCUUUUACAAGCACACUUUUUCUUUGCUUUUUAGAUUUCAACAAAUAACCAAAAUGACAUCAUAUAGGGAAAAAACCACAAAAACUGCAUGCUCACUAAAUAUGCCUGUAGAUGAUUAAUAUAGAGAAUUGCCAUACACUCAACUUUGUGUCUUUCUACAAUUCUGACUAAACGAAGUUAGGAGGUAAAGAAUGAUUCCCCAUGUAAAAUGCCUAUGUGGACACUUGGAAUAUAUCCAUGUAUGUCAGCAUUAAUGCUUGUAACUAACAAAUUCAGUUUGGACCAAGAACAAUGCCACUUACUGGAGACAAUGUGUAUUUAAGCGGUUUUUUCGUUUUGUCUUUUUAAAAUUUUUUAAAUUGUACUUUAAGUGAAAGUACAAAUCAAGUCAGUCUCUCAUACAAAAACUUAUAUACACCUUACUAUGUACUCCUAGCUGCUCUCCCCCUAAUGAGACAGCACACUCGUCCUCUCCACCCUUUAUUCCCCGUGUCCAUUCAGCCAGCUCCUGUCCUCCUCUGCCUUUUCAUCUCACCUUCAGACAGGAGCUGCCCACAUAGUCUCAUGUGUCUGCUUGAGCCAAAAAGCUCACUCCUCACCAGUAUCAUUUUCUGUCUUAUAGUCCAGUCCAAACCCUAUCCGAAGAGCCAGUUUUGAGAAUGGUUUCAGUCUUGGGCUUACAGAAGGUCCAGGGAACAUGACCUCCAGGGUCUUUCCAGUCUCAGUCAGACCAAUACGUCUGGUAUUUUUACAAGAAUUUGAAGUCUGCAUCCCACUGUUCUCCUGCUCCUGUCAGGGAGUCAUUCUUUGUAGCUGGGCACCAUUUAGUACUUCCAGGUUCAGGCUGAUGUAGUCUCUGGUUUAUGUGGCCCUUUCUGUCUCUUG